rnacentral:rRNA from 1 species
ACGAACGCUGGCGGCGUGCCUAAUACAUGCAAGUAGAACGCUGAAGAGAGGAGCUUGCUCUUCUUGGAUGAGUUGCGAACGGGUGAGUAACGCGUAGGUAACCUGCCUUGUAGCGGGGGAUAACUAUUGGAAACGAUAGCUAAUACCGCAUAACAAUGGAUGACACAUGUCAUUUAUUUGAAAGGGGCAAUUGUUCCACUACAAGAUGGACCUGCGUUGUAUUAGCUAGUAGGUGAGGUAAUGGCUCACCUAGGCGACGAUACAUAGCCGACCUGAGAGGGUGAUCGGCCACACUGGGACUGAGACACGGCCCAGACUCCUACGGGAGGCAGCAGUAGGGAAUCUUCGGCAAUGGGGGCAACCCUGACCGAGCAACGCCGCGUGAGUGAAGAAGGUUUUCGGAUCGUAAAGCUCUGUUGUAAGUCAAGAACGGGUGUGAGAGUGGAAAGUUCACACUAUGACGGUAGCUUACCAGAAAGGGACGGCUAACUACGUGCCAGCAGCCGCGGUAAUACGUAGGUCCCGAGCGUUGUCCGGAUUUAUUGGGCGUAAAGCGAGCGCAGGCGGUUUGAUAAGUCUGAAGUUAAAGGCUGUGGCUCAACCAUAGUUCGCUUUGGAAACUGUCAAACUUGAGUGCAGAAGGGGAGAGUGGAAUUCCAUGUGUAGCGGUGAAAUGCGUAGAUAUAUGGAGGAACACCGGUGGCGAAAGCGGCUCUCUGGUCUGUAACUGACGCUGAGGCUCGAAAGCGUGGGGAGCGAACAGGAUUAGAUACCCUGGUAGUCCACGCCGUAAACGAUGAGUGCUAGGUGUUGGAUCCUUUCCGGGAUUCAGUGCCGCAGCUAACGCAUUAAGCACUCCGCCUGGGGAGUACGACCGCAAGGUUGAAACUCAAAGGAAUUGACGGGGGCCCGCACAAGCGGUGGAGCAUGUGGUUUAAUUCGAAGCAACGCGAAGAACCUUACCAAGUCUUGACAUCCCGAUGCUAUUUCUAGAGAUAGAAAGUUACUUCGGUACAUCGGUGACAGGUGGUGCAUGGUUGUCGUCAGCUCGUGUCGUGAGAUGUUGGGUUAAGUCCCGCAACGAGCGCAACCCCUAUUGUUAGUUGCCAUCAUUCAGUUGGGCACUCUAGCGAGACUGCCGGUAAUAAACCGGAGGAAGGUGGGGAUGACGUCAAAUCAUCAUGCCCCUUAUGACCUGGGCUACACACGUGCUACAAUGGUUGGUACAACGAGUUGCGAGUCGGUGACGGCGAGCUAAUCUCUUAAAGCCAAUCUCAGUUCGGAUUGUAGGCUGCAACUCGCCUACAUGAAGUCGGAAUCGCUAGUAAUCGCGGAUCAGCACGCCGCGGUGAAUACGUUCCCGGGCCUUGUACACACCGCCCGUCACACCACGAGAGUUUGUAACACCCGAAGUCGGUGAGGUAACCUUUUGGAGCCAGCCGCCUAAGGUGGGACAGAUGAUUGGGGUG